CCGCCGCCCGCCUCCCGCUCGCCUCCCGCUCACCCCCCGCUCGCGGAGCUGAGCUGCGAAGGGGGCCGGGCUGGCGCCGAGGGCGCGUCCCCAAACGGGCACGGGCGCGGACGCGCGCGUUCCUGGGGCUCCGCGGUCAGUCUUUUCCCUAGGAUGAAGACAAAGAAGUAAUAAUUCCUACAAAGGAGAGAAGAACAGUAAGUAUGAAGUCUGAAGAACCGGGUCAUUGCGAUCUGCAUCACCAGCCACGAGCUCCCGGCUAUGGGACACCUUACACGCGGUUCUCUAGUCUCGGGUCCGCUUUCCUUAAGCUUUCUCAAUUCUCAGUUCAGUUAUCUUCAAGUUCUCUCUGCUAUCUGGUCCUUUGGUCGGACGGCCGCCUCCACAAACAAAAUGUCUUUAAGAUUCCCUGGCUCGUUUGGAAAGACUGACGACAUUAAGAAAAAUUAACAAACCUCAAGAACUGUCUGGUUACCUGAGGUCAACCACUAUCAGGAUGCAGAUGAUCCUUCUAAUAUAUCAUCAAAGGGACGAUAGUGGCCUAAUGCUAUGUCACAAUGCCUGUGUCAUUCACUUCACUUCAUCUCAUCACUAGGCAUUUUAUCCUCUCACAUCAAAAGAAGAAGGAAAAUCUCAAGAUGAAGGUGUUUCCAGCAUAUUUUCAUGGACUCAACAAAGUCAUCCAUGUUUUUUGGUUCUUUUCAUCUCUAUGUUCUAUCAUUCUUAGCAUGUUAGCCUUUCACUCUCACCCUUAUUACCUCAUGAGUUGUCAGAAUGGGUUGAUAAGCUCCAGACUCAUGUCUAGCCCAUGAGUCCCUUAGUAUCUCAGUAUGUGUAUCUACUAGGUCUGUUCAGCUCACCAGUGUCCCACAGCCUUGGCUUCUGGAUAUUUUUGGUUUUACUUAUUCACAGUCCAUAGGUUCCCCCUCCUUUUUGCAUACCCCAACUUAAAAUUAACAUCGGGUCUUAAAAUUACAUCUCUGCUGGACCCCAGUGCAUUUCUUUGCCUGGAACUGACGCUUAACCUCUGGGGGAUGCUGAUUAAUAAAAAACUCAAUUCUAAAAUGAG